CAUGNGUAGCGGUGAAAUGCGUAGAUAUAUGGAGGAACACCAGUGGCGAAAGCGGCUCUCUGNUCUGUCACUGACGCUGAGGCUNUAAAGCGUGGGUAGCGAACAGGAUUAGAUACCCUGGUAGUCCACGCCGUAAACGAUGAGUGCUAGGUGUUAGGCCCUUUCCGGGGCUUAGUGCCGGAGCUAACGCAAUAAGCACUCCGCCUGGGGAGUACGACCGCAAGGUUGAAACUCAAAGGAAUUGACGGGGGCCCGCACAAGCGGUGGAGCAUGUGGUUUAAUUCGAAGCAACGCGAAGAACCUUACCAGGUCUUGACAUCCCGAUGCUAUUCUUAGAGAUAGGAAGUUACUUCGGUACAUCGGAGACAGGUGGUGCGUGGUUGUCGUCAGCUCGUGUCGUGAGAUGUUGGGUUAAGUCCCGCAACGAGCGCAACCCUUAUUGUUAGUUGCCAUCAUUAAGUUGGGCACUCUAGCGAGACUGCCGGUAAUAAACCGGAGGAAGGUGGGGAUGACGUCAAAUCAUCAUGCCCCUUAUGACCUGGGCUACACACGUGCUACAAUGGUCGGUACAACGAGUUGCGAGCCGGUGACGGCAAGCUAAUCUCUGAAAGCCGAUCUCAGUUCGGAUUGGAGGCUGCAACUCGCCUCCAUGAAGUCGGAAUCGCUAGUAAUCGCGGAUCAGCACGCCGCGGUGAAUACGUUCCCGGGCCUUGUACACACCGCCCGUCACACCACGAGAGUUUGUAACACCCGAAGUCGGUGAGGUANCCUUUUAGGG
rnacentral:rRNA from 1 species